rnacentral:rRNA from 1 species
GAGUUUGAUCAUGGCUCAGAACGAACGCUGGCGGCAGGCUUAACACAUGCAAGUCGAACGCUCAUCUUCGGAUGGGAGUGGCAGACGGGUGAGUAACGCGUGGGAACCUACCUAAUAGUACGGAAUAGCCCUGGGAAACUGGGAAUAAUACCGUAUACGCCCUUCGGGGGAAAGAUUUAUCGCUAUUAGAUGGGCCCGCGUUGGAUUAGCUAGUUGGUGAGGUAAUGGCUCACCAAGGCGACGAUCUAUAGCUGGUCUGAGAGGAUGAUCAGCCACACUGGAACUGAGACACGGUCCAGACUCCUACGGGAGGCAGCAGUGGGGAAUAUUGGACAAUGGGCGCAAGCCUGAUCCAGCCAUGCCGCGUGAGUGAUGAAGGCCUUAGGGUUGUAAAGCUCUUUCAAUGGUGAUGAUAAUGACAGUAGCCAUAGAAGAAGCCCCGGCUAACUUCGUGCCAGCAGCCGCGGUAAUACGAAGGGGGCUAGCGUUGUUCGGAUUUACUGGGCGUAAAGCGCACGUAGGCGGAUUGAUUAGUUAGGGGUGAAAUCCCGAGGCUCAACCUCGGAACUGCCUCUAAAACUGUCAAUCUCGAGACCGGAAGAGGUGAGUGGAACUCCUAGUGUAGAGGUGGAAUUCGUAGAUAUUAGGAAGAACACCAGUGGCGAAGGCGGCUCACUGGUCCGGUACUGACGCUGAGGUGCGAAAGCGUGGGGAGCGAACAGGAUUAGAUACCCUGGUAGUCCACGCCGUAAACGAUGAGAGCUAGUCGUUGGGAAAUUUAUUUCUGAGUGACGCAGCUAACGCAUUAAGCUCUCCGCCUGGGGAG